UACGGGGGGAGCAAGCGUUGUUCGGAUUUACUGGGCGUAAAGGGCGCGUAGGCGGCGUAACAAGUCACUUGUGAAAUCUCCGGGCUUAACCCGGAGCGGCCAAGUGAUACUGUUGUGCUAGAGUGCGGAAGGGGCUACUGGAAUUCUCGGUGUAGCGGUGAAAUGCGUAGAUAUCGAGAGGAACACCUGCGGCGAAGGCGAGUCCCUGGACAACUCCUGACACUGAGGCACGAAAGCUAGGGGAGCAAACAGG
rnacentral:rRNA from 1 species